AGGUCUUCGAGACGCUGACGAGUGGCGAACGGGUGAGUAACGCGUAGGUGAUCUGCCUUUGGGUUGGGGAUAUACUGUGGAAACACAGGGUAAUACCGAAUGAGGUCGUCGAGUUUGGACUUGACGAUGAAAGGGGCUACGGCCUCGCCUGAAGAUGAGCCUGCGUUUGAUUAGCUAGUUGGUGGGGUAAAAGCCUACCAAGGCUUCGAUCAAUAGCCGGCCUGAGAGGGUGGUCGGCCACACUGGGACUGAGAUACGGCCCAGACUCCUACGGGAGGCAGCAGCUAAGAAUCUUCCACAAUGGACGAAAGUCUGAUGGAGCGACGCCGCGUGGGUGAUGAAGGCGGUAACGUUGUAAAGCCCUUUUAUAGGUGAGGAAUAAGGUCAGGAGGGAAUGCCUGGCUGAUGACGUUAGCCUAUGAAUAAGCCCCGGCUAAUUACGUGCCAGCAGCCGCGGUAACACGUAUGGGGCGAGCGUUGUUCGGAAUUAUUGGGCGUAAAGGGUGCGCAGGCGGUUAUGCAAGUCUGGUGUCAAAGCCCGCAGCUCAACUGCGGAAGGGCAUUGGAAACUGUGUGACUAGAGUUCGUGAGGGGUAGCUGGAAUUCCAGGUGUAGGGGUGAAAUCUGUAGAUAUCUGGAAGAACAUCAAUGGCGAAGGCAAUCUACUGGCACUGAACUGACGCUGAGGCACGAAAGCGUGGGGAGCAAACAGGAUUAGAUACCUUGGUAGUCCACGCCGUAAACGAUGUGCACUAGGUGUCGGGCCGUAUGGCUCGGUACCGUAGCUAACGCGUUAAGU
rnacentral:rRNA from 1 species